CAGAUCAGCAAAGCUGCGGUGAAUACGUUCCCGGGCCUUGUACACACCGCCCGUCACACCACGGGAGUCGGUCGCGCCUGAAGCCGGUGGCCUAUCAGUAAUGGGGGAGCCGUCUAUGGCGAGAUUGGUAACUGGGUGAAGUCGUAACAAGGUAUC
rnacentral:rRNA from 1 species